rnacentral:tRNA from 1 species
GCGGGUAUGGCGAAAUGGCAGACGCGCCAGCCUUAGGAGCUGGUGGCCGCAAGGCCGUGGAGGUUCAAAUCCUCCUACCCGCA